rnacentral:rRNA from 1 species
UAAUACGGAGGGUGCGAGCGUUGUUCGGAAUUAUUGGGCGUAAAGCGCGUGCAGGCGGUCUGUUAAGUCUGAUGUGAAAGCCCCGGGCUCAACCCGGGAAGUGCAUUGGAAACUGGCAGACUUGAGUACGGGAGAGGGUAGUGGAAUUCCGAGUGUAGGGGUGAAAUCCGUAGAUAUUCGGAGGAACACCGGUGGCGAAGGCGGCUACCUGGACCGAUACUGACGCUGAGACGCGAAAGCGUGGGGAGCAAACAGGAUUAGAUACCCUGGUAGUCCACGCCGUAAACGAUGGGUACUAGGUGUCGCGGGUAUUGACCCCUGCGGUGCCGAAGCUAACGCAUUAAGUACCCCGCCUGGGGGGUACGGCCGCAAGGCUA